GAGGCGCUUGGGAGGACUCCCCCAGUUCUGUUAAGAGCUGGGCACAAAGAGCCCUUUGCACUCCAGCCGCAGGAGCGAGGAGGAGCCGAGACCUGGGGCGUCCAGCGCAGCCUCAAACCCAGGGCAUCUCUGCACUCUCAUCGCGACGUCGCUCUGGAUGCUGUUUGCAUAUCCUUGGGGAGUCACUGCUUUGGCACAACAGUCCUGCGAGGUGCUGGAAUUCCGUCUGUUCUCAUCACACGGACAUGGCUGAUCUGUCUCAGUGGUACCUGGGGGCAAAGCAGGGAGCCGGGCGGUGGAGGCCAACAUUGUUACCAAGUUGGCUCUGUCUCAACACAGGGACUGAGCCUUCUGAGCCUCAAGAGUUCCUGCUGGUUCCCAGGUGGUGGA
rnacentral:sRNA from 1 species